AUGAAAAGUAGAGAUUUUGUCAAACGCACGACGUUACGUUCUGUUAACCCUUUGAGGAACUCAAACAUCGGUGAGAAUUCAAUAUCAGAUAACAGAAUCUAAAGACAAAAUCUGUAGAGCUUAAGGGGUCGGAGCUUCAACAAAGAUUCGGUAUAGCAAAAGGGAAAAUAUGAAGAGGAAAACAACAGUUUCAGAACCAUCAUCAAGCAGAAAACGCCCACGAGAUGAAGAAUCCGAAUCCGAACCCGAACCUGGAAAUUUUCUUUCGCUAGAGGAGAAUCUCUCGUUUAGUGAUACUAUGGUGGCUCUUCAAAUAAUGCACGCUCAGUUUCCUCACAUUGAAAAGGUUUCCAUCCAGCCUUUUGUUUUGCAAUCACAGUUGUACAGCAGCAUAAGGGACAGGACACAAGUGGAUAGGGAAUUAGAGUCUUUACGAAGGGAUAGAGUUUUGCGGAUAUUUAAGUUAAAUACUGGACAGGAUGACCAUGCUGUAAUGUUCAUGGAUGACUACCUAAAUCAGAUUGAACAUGUUGUGAAAAGAAUGGAAGUGAAGACUCAAGAUGAUCGUAUGGUUUUUGAAUGGUUUAAGACUCAUGUAAUACAUUCAAAGCUGGAUACCAGCAUUGGUCAUCAAGAGCUUUGUUCACUUCUGUCCAUGGGGGGAAAGGUGAAAGAGGAACAUAUUUCUCUAUUAAUUAACGCUGGCAUUAUUAUUCGCCAACUUAUUGAUCAAAAUAUGUAUUGGUUUGCAAUUCCAAAUAUUGGUUCAGUGCUCAAAGGUCUCUCGCAGAAAGGAGGUUCUCUCAUUCCUCAACCGUAGGAAAUACAAAGAGAUGAUGUUGGCUCCUUUGGAGAAGAAGCGCCUCCGAUUUUCUCCUCUGGAUAUGAGAUUUCAUCUUAGAGAUCUGAUUGGUUCAGGUCACCUCAAAACUGUCCAGACGCCUAGCGGGUUAAUUGUCCGGGUUGCGAAGGAUUGAAAAUCGGAAUAUAGCAGCUUCUGUAGAAGAUCCUGUGAAGUCUCAAACUGAUGACCCUACUAAAAUGCUGCCAUGUGAGUUCUGAAUUUCUACUUGGCUGUUCAUAGCUUGCAUUAUCAUAGCUGGAUUAUUGGUUAUUGCAUAGACUUGUUUGUGGCAGCUACCUGCUCGGGUCCCAACAUGGGCACGUUUAAAUUAUUUCUUCGUGUUGUUUUGUGGCGAAGCAUUACGAAGGACUGUGUCGGCGCUUUUUGAUGCAUGUAACAUAGUAGUCAAAUGGCUCCAUUGUUGCAUAUAGAUAUAGAAUAACUUGAUCAUAGCUGUUACAUAAUUGGAAUUGUACAAAAGAGCAUUAUUUGAUUGAACUUCAAUUUUGUAUUACCAUUUUCCUUCAAAAACUGGAGAGCCUCCAUCAGGAAAUAAGAAUUUCUGAGACUGACGUAUCUUUUCUUUAUGAAUCAACUUACAGUCGACCAAAGUUCUAGUUGUAUUAAAUAUUCUAUGUUUUGCUAAUGAUAAUUGCUUCUAUA